CGUUGCAUAACUGCUCAGGAGCUAAUGCUAAACUAAAUGGAAUUGCGGUAUGUCGAGCUCUCCCAAAGAUCACUUAUCCAUGGUAUUUUAGUUCAUGAGAAAAUUCAAUUCAACAGUUAUUUAAGCAAGUUUCACUCCAAAAAAUUACUCAUGCGGGUCUAUUAUAAAAAUUAUACACCUACCUAUAUUAGUCUACCUACAUACACACCACCUUAUUUUUGGCACCAAUGAGUUGGAUUGGAUGAUUUCCCCCCUCGAAUAGUAAUUUAUGACUAUAUAUGGGAAUGAUGCAUUAGAUUGUUUUAAAAAAAAAAAUAGAUAAGCUUUCUUUUGAAAACAAAGAACAAAAAACAAAAAAAAGAAAACACAUAAUCACAUAUAAUUCUCAAUAGCUCUCCUCCGUCAAAUGAAAUGAUUACCAUCAUUGCUUUUAUGAAGAUAAUUUAGGAAGUCCACAUAAGUCGAACUUUUCUUUCAUCCUAUGCACACAAGCAAACCUUGUCAUUAACUAUCUCGCACAAAAAGAGAUUUCCAAUUGGUAAGGAGAGCAAUAAAAAACUAAAGUCAUCAUUAAAUCAAACAAAUUGGAUAGUCAUUAAUGUGUGGUCAUUACUGACGUACAUACAAAACGCAAUUUACGUGACUGACAUACAUACACAAAGCGAUUUACAAUUCAUGAAUUUGCUUCUAGUAUUAGUAUAAGGGCGUGUUUGAUACCGGGACGUGUGACGUGGGAACUUAUUAAAACUAUUCAUGUUUGCUGUUUGAUAAAAAAAAUGGAAGUUCAAAUCGGAACUUCAAGGUACUGUUCAUCUUCCCUUCUCUUCCCAUCUUCGGCCGCUGAGCACCCCUCUCUUCGCGGCACGACCCCUCUCUUCUGUUCUCCGCGUUCAGCCUCUCAGCCACCCCCCUCUUCGCAGCCCGCCACUAUCUCAGGCAGACUCCUCCCUCGCUAGCGUUUACUCAGCUGCUCUUGAGCUCUGAUCCUUGAUCUUGAGGUAUGCUAUUGACUCUUAUUCUCUCUGUGUUAUUGAUCUCUGUGUUUGUUCUUGACCUCUUGAAGCAAAGAGCUCUUAUUCUCUCUGUGUUAUUGAUCUUGAGGUAUGUUAUUGGCUCUGAUUGUCUUCGUCUUUCUCUCUCUAUCUCUUCUUUGAGCUCUGAACCUUCCUAUUGAGCUCUGAUCUGUGUUCUUCAUCUUUCUGGAGGUAUUUAUUUGGCGAUUUUACAGAUUUUUCGCAACUGUCCAAUAGAUCUCAGCUCAGGUACAAAAAACAAUAGAGCUCAGUUACACAGAUUAUUUAAACUGUUUGUAAUAAAAUCCGAGGCCUUUUUUUUUUUUGUGUUUAUUUGGUGAUUUUACAGACUUUUCGCAACAGCCCAAUAGAUCAGAGCUCAGUUACAAAAAAAAAAAUAGAGCUCAUUUACAAACUGAUUAUUCAAACAGUUUGUAAUAAAAUCUGAGUCCUUUUUUUUGUGCUUAUUUGGAGAUUUUACAUAUUUUUCGCAACAGCCCAAUAGAUCAGAGCUCAUUUUUACAAAAAAAAAUAGAGCGCAGUUAUAAACUGAUUAUUCAAACAGUUCGUAAUAACAUCUGAGUCCUCUUUUUUUUUGUGUUUAUUUGGUGAUUUUACAGAUUUUCGCAACAGCCCAAUAGAUCAGAGCUCAGUUACAAAAAAAAUAGAGCUCGGUUACAAACUGAUUAUUCAAACAGUUUGUAAUAAAAUCUGAGUCCUUUUUGCUUUGUGUUUAUUUGGCAAUUUUACAGAUUUUUCGCAAACAGCCCAAUAGACAGAGCUCACUUACAAAAAAAAUAGAGCUCAGUUACACAUUGAUUAUUUAAACAAUUUGUAAUAAAAUCCGAGUCCUUUUUUUUUUUGUGUUUAUUUAGCAAUUUUACAGAUUUUUCGCAACAGCCCAAUUGAUCAGAGCUCAGUUACAAAAAAAAAAAAGAGCUCAGUUAUAAACUGAUUAUUCAAACAGUUUGUAACAAAAUCUGAGUCCUUUUUUUCGUGCUUAUUUGGCAAUUUUACAGACUUCACAACAGCCC
rnacentral:lncRNA from 1 species